CUGGGACGAAUGAAGCGUUUUGCUCCUACUUCCGGUUUCGAGACUUUUUUUGGGACUUCAUUUCCCAGGAUUCCCGGCUAUUUGCUAAGUACACUGGGAAUCCUGGGAGUUGAAGUCCAAAACAACUAAAGGCCCAAAGAAGAGUUACAAGCUUGGCAGAUGCAGGGAAUGCUGUGGAUGGAGCAGAUCCUGACAAGGCCUUCCAUGACUUUCUUGCAAAUCCUUUGACCAAUCCCAAUGAUGUCUGAAGGGGAGCUCCAGAAAGCUCUUCCCAGGUUGGUUCAAGAAGGGAAGCUCCCCAUUCUUCAAGAAGAAAUGAAAAGUGUGGAGGGCUUGAGCCAGGAGGUGCGGAGGAAGCACUUUGGCCGGUCGGGGGACACUCUGCUCCACUAUGCCGCCCGGCACGGCCACCUCAGCAUCGUCCAAUACUUAGUCGAGACCUUGGGAAUGGAUCUGGAGCUCUUCAACAACGAUUACAAGCGUCCCCUCCACGAAGCGGCUUCCAUGGGGCACUGGGACUGCGCCUUGUACCUGCUGAACCGAGGGGCUGCUGUCGACUGCCUGAAAAAAUCAGACUGGACACCCCUCAUGAUGGCUUGCACAAGGAGGAACUUGGAAGUCAUCCAAGAUCUCGUCCAGCAUGGAGCAAACCCAUUGCUGAAGAACAAAGACGGCUGGAACUGUUUCCACAUCGCUUGCCGAGAAGGGGAUCCCCGAGUGAUCCAGUACCUGCUCGAUGUCUCUCCUGGCAUCUGGGAUACAGAGAGCAAGAUCAGAAGGACCCCUCUGCACACAGCAGCGAUGCAUGGAUGCCUGGAGGUUGUGAAAGUGCUACUUGAAAGGUGCUGCUAUGGACCAGACAGUGUGGACAAAUGUGGAGUUACUCCCUUUAUGGAUGCCAUACAAAACGGGCACCUUGAUAUCGCCCGGCUGCUUCUAGAGAAACAUAAGGCUGAUCACAGCAGGAAGGAUGCCCUCGGGGCUCAACCACUGCACCAAGCGGCGGUCACAGCGCAAGACGAUGCCCUUCGGUUCCUCGUUUCGGGCCUCAAUGUUGAUGUCAACGCAAGGGCCACCAUCUUACAGCUCACUGCACUUCAUUAUGCAGCCAAGGAAGGGCACGCAAACACCAUCCAGACCCUUCUCUUCCUCGGCGCUGAUGUGAACGCUAAGGAUGGCAAAGAUCGAACAGCCCUGCAUAUGGCGUGCGCUGGGCAGCAUACCGUGUGCGCGCACGUUCUCCUCGAGGCAGGACUGCAAGAUUCGCCAGACUUCUCUGGAACACACGCCUGGCAGAUGGCCAGGAAGCCGAGCCUCCUCCAGCUUUUCGAGAAGACAGACGUGAGCGCAUGAAAACCUGCAUUUAUGGCCGAGAGAAUGGAGACCUUUCUUUCCACUUUAGCUGCCCAGCAGGACAGUUUAUAGGGAAACCCAUUAUGUGUCCUAACAUGGAAAGUUUAUACUUGCCUAGAGGUCUGCUUACCUGCAAGACCUGUCGCGAUUAUUGGAAAAUAAUCCUAGAGCAAAGAUUCAUUACUGUUGGAAGACUUUAUCGAGUUGGUGAUGGUGUCCACCUUGAGUCUUGUGCCAAAAGAAAGGUGAGAAAAUAAGACAUUAUUUUCUCCUGGCCGGGCUGUGGCGCAGCUAGUUAGUAGCCAGCUGCAAUAAAUCACUACAGACUGAGAGGUCAUGUGUUUGAAGCUAGCCUGGGUCAGAGUGAUGUUUUGACCAUUAAUAGUUUACCUUGCUAUCGACCAUGCAGCUCGAAAGACAGUUGCAUCUGUCAGGUAGAUAUUUUAGGUACCGCUUUAUGCGGGGAGGCUAAUUUAACUAAUUUACGACACCAUAAAAACGUCCAGCAGCGUGUGUGCGGAAGAAUGAGGAAGUACUCUAUCAAGGACUCGAUGUCAUAAGUGGACGGUGAAGCCACAGGUCCCCCUGUGGCCAGAAGCUGGAAAAUGUUAAAUUGCCUCUUUGUCUGUCUAUAUAUGUCAUAUGUCUAAUGGCAUUGAAUGUUUGCCAUGUCCAUGUGCAUUGUGAUCCACCCUGAGUCCCCUUCAGGGUGAGAAAGAAGGGCGGAAUAUAAAUAUUAUAGAUUAAUUAAUUAAUUAAUUUGCGUGUUUGAUAAAGCAGAGUUUGAUAAGUUAAUGAGUUCAGGAGCCAACGUUUGCCCAUGCCUGAUCUAAACUGUUGAAUGAAUAUUUUAAUCAAAUCCUUCCAAAGUUAAAUACAAAUGUGGAGGGCUGGCUGAACAAUCCUUGCGGUUUCAUUCUUCUCUCUUCCUCCUAAAUCUUAAACACUUCCUGGCAGCAAAUGCAGAAGACAAUCCAGUUAAUUCAUUCAUCUGCUUUCGCUGAAGACUGAUUUGGCAGGCCCAGGCAAGCAUCCCAGUGAAACACUAAACACUAGAUAUAACUAUGAAGUGUGUUUGUGAGUGCAAGGGGAUAACCCUUUCAGCAGACUCAGCAGCCAAAGUACUUAGGAAGGCUUUAUGUCCGCUCCAUGGCUUGCAUCUGUCACAGCGGGACCUGUCCUUCAGACCCGUCUCGCCUGUACUUCCCCUGUCAGUCAACCGGAACAGGGAAAGCUUUCUGCUUCCUUAAGCCUCCCUCACUUCCAUUAGGGAGCAGCAAAUGUGAUUUGCUUGUAAUCAUUAGUUUUCCUGAUCCGGUUGUGAAUUGCAAACAGCCACCUUGUUCAUUUCACACCUCAAAUGAAAAGUUUACUUUCAAGGUGCAGCUCAUUGAAAGGCGGGAGAUCCGCGUCCAGCAGGAUCUCUUCCAAGUUGGAAAUGGUGUAUACAGUUUUCUUUGACAUUGCAGGGCAGGUUUAGAGGAAAGCCUUGGUCGGGAUGGGAGUUACAAGGGAUUUAUUUUAUUUACAGUACAGUAGAGUCUCACUUAUCCAAACUAAAUGGGCCGGCAGAAGCUUGGAUAAGCGAAUCUCUUGGAUGAUAAGGAGGGAUUAAGGAAAAGCCUAUUAAACAUCAAAUUAGGUUAUGAUUUUACAAAUUAAUCACAUUUACAAAUGUUUUACAACAAAUUUGACAGAAAAAGUAGUUCAAUACGCAGUAAUGCUAGGGGCCGGGCUGUGGCGCAGGCUGUUCAGCAGCUGCAAUAAAUCACUCUGACCAUGAGGUCAUGAGUUCGAGGCCAGCCUAUGGCAGGGUGAGCACCUGUCAAUAAAAAAAAAAAUAGCCCCUGCUCGUUGCUGACCUAGCAACCCGAAAGAUAGUUGCAUCUAUCAAGUAGGAAAUAAGGUACCACUUAUAAAAGUGGGGAGGCAAAUUUAACUAAUUUAUGACCUGGAAUGAGGAAGUGCUGUCAGUGUGGAUGAUGAAGCAGCUGCUCCCCCCUGUGGCCAGAAUCGAACAUCCCCUCAGGAGAAGGUUAACUUGCCUCUGCGUCUGUCUGUCUUAGUCUCUGUUUGAUGUAUUUAUGGGCAUUGAAUGUUUGCCCUAUGUGUGUAUAAUGUGAUCCACCCUGAGUACCCUUCGGGUGAGAAAGAAGGGCGGAAUAUAAAUACUGUAAAUAAAUAAAUAAAUAAAUAAUG